rnacentral:tRNA from 1 species
ACAAUAAAGCAUAAAAAAUGCAUCAAUUUGCAAAAUUGAAAACUGUGAAAAUACUCACUACUGUCU